rnacentral:rRNA from 1 species
UACAUGGGGUGCAAACGUUGCUCGGAAUUACUGGGCGUAAAGGGCGCGUAGGCGGCUUGGUCAGUCCCGUGUGAAAUCCCUCGGCUCAACUGAGGAACUGCACGGGAAACUGCCUGGCUUGAGUUCGGGAGAGGGAAGCGGAAUUCCGGGUGUAGCGGUGAAAUGCGUAGAUAUCCGGAGGAACACCGGUGGCGAAGGCGGCUUCCUGGACCGACACUGACGCUGAGGCGCGAAAGCUAGGGGAGCAAACGGG